AUGCAGUCGAGGGAGAACCAUUCGUUCCGUAAGGUCCGGAUGGGGAAACCGGCGAACGGGUGCGUAACACGUGAGGAACCUGCCCCGAAGAUCGGGAUAGCCCGGGGAAACCCGGAUUAAUACCGAAUACCCUCUCCGGACCGCGUGGUCUGUUGAGGAAAUGGUCAGCCGCUUCGGGAUGGCCUCGCGGCCUAUCAGCUUGUUGGUGAGGUAACGGCUCACCAAGGCAAAGACGGGUAGCUGGUCUGAGAGGACGAUCAGCCACACUGGGACUGAGACACGGCCCAGACUCCUACGGGAGGCAGCAGCAGGGAAUAUUGCACAAUGGGCGCAAGCCUGAUGCAGCGACACCGCGUGCGGGAUGAAGGCCCUCGGGUUGUAAACCGCUUUCAGGAGGGACGAAAAUGACGGUACCUCCAGAAGAAGGCCCGGCCAACUACGUGCCAGCAGCCGCGGUAACACGUAGGGGCCAAACGUUGUCCGGAUUUAUUGGGCGUAAAGGGCUCGUAGGCGGUUCAACAAGUCGGUCGUGAAAUGCCGGGGCUCAACCCCGGAACGCCGGUCGAAACUGUUGUGACUAGGGUCCGGUAGAGGUGAGUGGAAUUCCCGGUGUAGCG
rnacentral:rRNA from 1 species